GACGAACGCUGGCGGCGUGCUUAACACAUGCAAGUCGAACGGAAAGGCCCUGCUUGCAGGGUACUCGAGUGGCGAACGGGUGAGUAACACGGGGGUGAUCUGCCCUGCACUUCGGGAUAAGCCUGGGAAACUGGGUCUAAUACCGGAUAGGAGCCAUUUUUAGUGUGAUGGUUGGAAAGUUUUUUUCGGUGUAGGAUGAGCUCGCGGCCUAUCAGCUUGUUGGUGGGGUAAUGGCCUACCAAGGCGGCGACGGGUAGCCGGCCUGAGAGGGUGGACGGCCACAUUGGGACUGAGAUACGGCCCAGACUCCUACGGGAGGCAGCAGUGGGGAAUAUUGCACAAUGGGCGCAAGCCUGAUGCAGCGACGCCGCGUGGGGGAGGACGGCCUUCGGGUUGUAAACUCCUUUCGCUAGGGACGAAGCUUUUUGUGACGGUACCUAGAUAAGAAGCACCGGCUAACUACGUG
rnacentral:rRNA from 1 species